UCGAGAAUCUUCCGCAAUGCGCGCAAGCGUGACGGAGCGACGCCGCGUGGGUGAUGAAGGCCUUCGGGUUGUAAAGCCCUGUCAGUUGCCAAGAAACGUGGGUUGUGAAUAGCAAUCCCACCUGACUAAGCAGCAGAGGAAGCACCGGCUAAAUACGUGCCAGCAGCCGCGGUAAUACGUAUGGUGCAAACGUUGUUCGGAAUCACUGGGCUUAAAGCGGGCGUAGGCGGUUUGGUAAGUCUGUUGUGAAAUCCCUGGGCUCAACCGAGGAACUGCAACGGAUACUGCUAAGCUAGAGUGCAGGAGGGGAGAGUGGAAUUCCUGGUGGAGCGGUGAAAUGCGUAGAUAUCAGGAGGAACGCCGGUGGCGAAAGCGACUCUCUGGCCUGUUACUGACGCUGAGGCCCGAAAGCUAGGGGAGCGAACGGGAUUAGAUACCCCCGUAGUCC
rnacentral:rRNA from 1 species